rnacentral:lncRNA from 1 species
UCAAAAGAGCCGAAGCUUUCGCGAGUCCCCAGCCGAGACAGCGGCGCUAAAAUAAUUAGCCCGCCCGCUCGCUAAACCUGCAUUAAUAAAAUCCGGCUUCUUUACUCCACUGCUCCUCCCCUACCUCCGGCCGCUGGGCUGGGCUGGGCGGGCUCGCCGUUGGCUGCCGAAACCGAUUAAAAAAUUGGGGAGGAAUCCCACCAGGCUGCUACCCCUAAGCUUUUCUCUGCGGGAAAUGUUCGGGGCGAGGCCCGCCGCGUGGCGUCCCCCGGCAAGGCAAUUAAGCGGCGGUCGCGGCCCUCCUGCGAUGCUGGAGCGGCGGUCGCGGGCGCGGCGAACGAAGCGGGAGCUGGCUAGGCUGGGGCGGAGGCGCGUAGGGGCUCUAUUUGGCGGGUGGGCGGAAUGGGGAGGGCGGAAGGCUGGCCUGGCGGAGAUCGACGGCCGCGCGCGGCGGCGGAGCUGGACGGGCGCUGCCGCUGCGGCCUACUCCUCCUGCUGCCGCUGCUGCUGAUCUGCUGGAGCUGGAGCCUGGGGAGAGAGCUGCGGGCGGUGGGGAGUGGGGGCUCGGCGUGGUGGCGAUCCCGCGACAGCGACCGUGGCGGGGGAGGAGGGAACCAGCGGAGAGGGAGGGAGGAAGAAGGCGGGUGGGGUGGGGUGGCUGCUAGCAAGGUAGAGCCAGCCAGUAGGAGGAACAGGGGNN